rnacentral:misc_RNA from 1 species
GAUGAAGAACGCAGCGAAUUGCGAUAAGUAAUGUGAAUUGCAGAAUUCAGUGAAUCAUCGAAUCUUUGAACGCACAUUGCGCCCCUUGGUAUUCCGAGGGGCAUGCCUGUUCGAGCGUCAUUUCAACCCUCAAGCACAGCUUGGUCUUGGGCUUCGCCGCUAACCCGGCGGGUCUUAAAAUCAGUGGCGGUGCCGUCGGGCCCUGAGCGCAGUAAUCUCUCUCGCUAUAGGGUCCCGGCGGAUGCUGGCCAGUAACCCCCAAUUUUCUAUGGUUGACCUCGGAUCAGGUAGGGAUACCCGCUGAACUUAAGCAUAUCAAUAAGCGGAGGA